UCAUUUAAUCUUGACACCAUUAGAAAGGUCACAGUCAAUAAUCAAGUGUGUGAAUCUCAAAACAUGCCCCAAUCCAUGCUUCAGUUUUAUGAUAGCACCCCCUCUUUUGGCCAAACCUGCAGCAGUAUUGACAAGAGCUUCACCUUGCCAGGGCCAAACUUGAGUUAUGAUAAAGGAGAUGAAAAUGUCUUCUCAACAUUCCAUCCAUUUGGGAAAGGAGUAGAAAGCUUUGCGUUGAUGGGUCAGUCUCUUCAAAAGGCUGAUUAUAACAUCUUCUCUUAUAACAAGGGACAUGAGAACGUCAUGUCUAAUGCCAAUGUUGUGUUCUCACAAGGCUGUGAGAUGGCAUUUAUGGUUCCUAGCCAAGAAAAAGCAGACAAGAACAGUGAUCAAACUAGUCAAGAGGUUAGAAGACAGACCAUAUCUUUUGGAAAUUAUCAGAAAGAAACCACAAUGGUGUCUCCAGUUCCUGUUAUUACCAGUUUUGAGAACUUCAGCCAUUCUCCUGCAGAGGACAACAUGUCUUCUCAAUAUCCUCCUUACGCCAGUACCUCUAGAGUUGAUACAUUGCUCGCCCCCAAAAGUAAAGACUCAAAGACAGCUAAGAAGGGUUCCACCACAAACACAUUUCCUUCAAAUGUAAAGUCCUUGUUGUCAACAGGAAUGUUUGAUGGGGUUACUGUCAAGUACUACUCCUGGUCACGCGAGGUCAGUCUCUUCUUUUAACCUGGAAUCAACCUUUCACCUUUACCAUGUGCUAAAAACGUUAUCUGGCAGAAAAAUCUCAAAGGAGUUAUAAAGGGGACUGGGUAUCUAUGUGGCUGCAGCGACUGUAACCUUAAUAAAGUAAGCAACGUGAUACCAACACUCUUAGAGUCAUUUACUGGCAUGUCUAUCUAAUACAAAAUCUAAUGCAACAGGUUCUUAAUGCAUAUGAGUUCGAGCAGCAUGCUAACUGCAAGACGAAGCAUCCAAACAAUCACAUAUACUUUGAGAAUGGAAAGACCAUUUAUGGAGUUGUUCAAGAGCUGAAGAAUACGCCUCAGGAGAAGCUGUUCGAUGCUAUUCAAAACGUAACGGGAUCUGAUAUCAACCGUAAAAAUUUCAACACCUGGAAAGGUAAUGUUUCGACAGAGAUAUUUUAAUUCAAUAUAGCAGCUUAAAGCAUGGCAAUACAGAACAAGAUACAAAAGUUAUUGUGUGUUAUAUUGUCUUACAGCAUCGUAUCACGUCGCUAGCCUUGAACUUCAGCGCAUCUAUGGGAAGGAUGCUGUAGUCACUUUGGCAUAGAAGUUAUCAACUGGGAGGCCUUUUUGUUGUAAGAGUAAUCAGUUCUUGUUCUCUGUAACUAUGGCUUUUAAUUAUAAAUCAGAACCUUGAAAUGCUGCUAUGAUGCCUUGUCUGGUGAGUCUAGUUCUUGGCAACUUAAUACAGCGCAUUGCUUGCUCUAGUUCUGGCCAAUUGUACUAUUAAUACUAUCAAAAAUGUUCUUCCUAUUUUUUUUUAUUAAUAGGAGUUUUAGGUAUCAGUUUAUAUGGUUCUUGCAAUAUAUAGAGAGAUAUUGCAACAAAAUCAGCAUCUCAGACAGACUCAUGAGACUGAGUUGCUGCCUUUGGGCUCGUUAACUGGUCACUAUUGAGUGAUAUGUUGUUCUUAUCAGGCUAGUUGGAAUGAUCUGUUCGUCAUUUUUUACCAGUCUUUGUCUUUGCUUUUACCACAUAGUACCAAAUAUAUUCCAAUGACAAUGACUAACACAUGCACUCUCUCCUUUGCUGUCCAUCCAAUAUCAUAGUAUGCCUUGGUCGUCUUUCAAAUAACAUAUAUCCACAAGUUCUGAAGUAGAUUUUUCUUGAAGACUACUACUUGCCCUGAACGACAAUGUGUUUCAAUAAAAUGCUCAAAAGCUCACGAGAUAAGAAAACGCUUGAGAUAAAUAAAUGGCAAAGAGAAUGGAUAAGAAUGUCACACAAGUUCAUCAGAGUUUAUCCGGUUAAUGCAAAAGGAAACACCUUGUCUAUUUCAAGGCGUGUGUUAUGUUAUAAGUACUUCACAUGAGUUGCCAAAAGUAGAUCAAAAAGAAUAAUAAAAAGGGGCUAUAGGUGGUCUAGCUUCUCCCUGAUAUUAAAUUGACAUUAGUGUACAUUUGAGGAUUAGAGCGCUGGUCUGUUUGUGUUAAAGACUCGGUGAAGGCGAGUAAAGGUUGCAACAACAAACUCUGCUUCAUCUCUUCCAACAAAGUCUUACUUGUGUCCAUACCCGCAAGGUAUCCUCCAUGCACAUAUCCACUGAACUUUUCACUUGUGUGUUCUCCUGUGAAUAAUAUCCUUCCAAAUGGAGCCUGAUGAAUCACAAAAACCAAAUCAUAAAUUCCCACAUAAGUGCUAAAAACAACAAAAGGUGCUGUAAAAAUACCUUGACAUUUCGUUGAAGCUGAUUAUCAGAUAUCAUAGGGUAAUUGCUGUAGCUACCGCGCUGAAACCGGUUGUUCCACCAUCUAGGGACAAGAAUAUCAGUUGCGUAAGGAAUAGUGGGACCAAACAUGUCCCUCAGAACACUCAUCGCCUCUUUCAGUGUCUCCUCGUCUGAUUGGGACUCCACGCGCUUUGACUGCUCGUUGGUCAACGUCACGACCAGAAUGUUAGACCCCGGGUACGCAUUUUCCAUGUGCUGAUUUAAAACAGGAGCAACAACAGUUAGAUUUACAGACUGCAAGCUGGAGAGUAGAGAGCAAGCAAACUUGUAAUAAUAUAACAAGCUACAUGGACCAUGCAGCUGGUUAGACACUCGAGAUAAUUUAAAGCAAUGAUGAUAAUAAUCAAAGGGACCCCCCAGGUGAUUAAUAAUAAGAUUAGUAGGGAGUGCAUGUGCCACGUUUCUCACGUAUGUGGACUGAAUAAAAAGAUGCAUUGAGAUUAACAAACUACUGAUAAUAUUUUAAUUUUUUUAAGGUAAUCAACCUGCCAAAAGGUGAAGUAGCCGCGUUGUUCGUGCGCAUAGAUGAAAAACUCUUGGCCAGGACCACAUGGCCAGAAACAAUGAGGGAAUUUGAGGAAGAUCUUGGUGUACACCAUCACAUCACAUUUUUGUAUAGCUUCAGUUUUCCAUUUCUGUCACCAAUAAUAGUACUGGUUAGUAAGAUCACUUGAAUAAAGAUAAAAAGAAAAAUAUUCUGACUUCUGAGACAAAGUUUAACAUGCAUGUUUGUUAAUUGUUUAUGUUAUCUUAAAGGACUCCUUCUUGAAUUAUGUGGAUCAACCAUGCAUAACCAACCCAUUGUAUUUGAUGUAUGGUUUUGAUAAAAAUAAAAAAAAAUGAAUUCUGACUUUCUUUACCUAAUGGCUAACGCAAUUUUAUAUUUCCUAGGUUCACGUACAUUGAAUGAUUAAAAAACCUCCCCCUUUUUGUGUUAUCUUUAGCGUUAAAUAAGCAUAAAAGAUAAGACAAAUAAGUAGUUGAUUAUAAACUAGUAAUAAUAGGAGAAGAGGAGAAAGUAAGCUAACCGGUAAAGGAGGCUGGAAUGAGAUAAGAUUGGAUUGGAGAACACCAAUACUAGCAGACACGAUCACAUAAUUGGCCUCGUAUUCGGAACCAUCCUCUGUUUUCACCACAACACCAUUCCUCGACUGUUGCACCUCCCUAACCACCUGCCAUUAAUUCACCACUAAUAUAAGAUUACUAAUACUACUAUAGCAAUAGGUGCCAAAAACUAAGCCAGCUGGUUUCUGAGAGGCAAUAAAUAAAAACAAUGACCCCACACAACUUGAAAUCAAUUUUCACUACAAAACAAAUGCUGAGACUGAAGAGAAACCUAGCAGCUGUGGUUUAGUUGUCAAACUUAGCAGGAAAAUGCAAAUCAACAACAGCUAAAAGGCAAAAAGGAGCUUUUCCAAAAUAACGUCAUAAUAUACUCCUUUUAACUCAAGUAAAAGAGGUCCAUCAAAACCUCAUCGUUUAACAACAGUCGAAAGAUAUUUUUUGUGCACAGGUGUUGAAGAAGAAAUAGUUUAAAAAAAAUCUACAGUACCUUGUUUAGUUUGAGGCGGUUGUCCAAAAUGUUACCAUCUGAGGUAUAGAGAAAGCCCUCGGCCAUUUUGUAAAGCAAUGAUUCGUAACCUCUUUCAUCAGCAACCAAAUAUUCCCUUUCACCGAAGUCCACGUAAGUCGAUAUUGGCUCAACCUCUGAACAACACGGUAACGAAUACAAUGUCAAGAAAUUGCUAGGCGGUAAUUAUACGUUUUGUUGAUUAGACGGACUUUUUUUUUUUUAAUGUUUAGAUCGAUUUUUCAAAAAUCCGUUAAAAAAAUUAUUUCCUUUAAAUCCGAUUUACCGUGUCAGUACUAUUAGAUGUAAUGAUGAAAAACACUGUUAUAAAACAGACAAAAUAUUAGAUGUAAUGAUUACCUGCCAUCUCGAAAUCAUGCAGGAUGAAGUCAAUAGCGAGUUCUAUUUUGUCUGAUGUUGUCACAUAUAGUUCAAGUAUGAGUCUCGUAUUGUUGAUAGAAGAUUCUUCCAGAGUUAUUUUGAAGGACAACAAUAUGGUUUAAGGAAGCUAAGUAUACAAAUUUAUUGAAAAGAUUGGAAAUAUAUUGAGUUUUAAUAAAUAUAAAUUGAUAAUUUUAGAACCCAGAACCCAAUUAAUAUCUUAAACCAAAACAAUUUUGGAUUCAAACAUGUAACUAAACCUGAACAGAACCCGGCCCAAACUUUUAUAAUAACGGAAUGAGGCUAAAACUCAUGAACCUGAAAUCCGACUGGGACCCCGAUUGUCCAGCCUUGGAUAACCUUCUUGUCCAUUUUAUUUGGUCAUGAGUUUUAUAGAGGCCAUACUGGUGCAGAGCAUAUGACUUCCCUUCUUCAUAUUAUAAAAAGAAUUCAGCCCAGUCUUGUGACCUAUAUUAUAAAACGAAUUGGGCCUAAUAAGAAAUAUGGGCCAUUUGUUUUAUAAUAUGGAAAGCCCGAAUCCCAUACUUCAAGGCUUUGCUUAUUUGUCUUGGCUAAAGCAUCAAUUUCAUGGGUUGGUUUUAACUUUUAAGAGAAGGAUGAUGCGAACUAGCAUCUUGCAGUUCUGGUGAGCAGCGUAGAAACUGGUUAUGAGCCACUUGUAAUCUGAUUGGUGUUUUUGGAAAAGACUCCAUAUCCCAUCUGUACUACUUCCCAUCUUUGAUCAUUAUGUUACAUGAAAAUUGUACAACUUGUAAAUAGACCACUAACAAAAUAAGGAUGGAUGUUAAGUUAAAAUGGUAAAAAUCACUUUAUCCUAAAUGUCCUUGCGACAACCCUAUGGAGAAAGAAAUGAGAUACUGUGUGGGGCCAGUAUCAUAAUUGAUAAGUUGACCCAAUCUGUCAAACAUUUUUCACACAUAUCAUCAUCAUGUUAAAUUUUCUUCAUCUAAUAGUCACACUCACACCAAAUGAUUCCCUACCAAACAAGAAAAAAGAACAAUCGUCAAGUAAUCUGACAAGGGGCAUUACUUGUAAAUUGUAACUCUCUACAUACUCGUAACGACCGGACGAUUCGUGUCCCUUUAGAGUUUUUGAUGAUCCUCUCUCUCUCUCUCUCUCUUGUGUUCACUCUUCCCCUCAACCUUUGGAUUCUCCUCGCGACUUCUCUCUUUUGGAUUCGCCGUUGGAGACUUUAAGAACAGCUCUGCCAUUUCAUUUCUAUAGUUGCAAAAGGUAAAGACUCGAGAUCGUCUCGUGGUGGUUCAUGGUUUUAGGGUUCAAAGUUCCUAAUUUUACUGUUCAUUUGAACCAAAGUUAUCGAUGACGUCAUGCUCACACUCCAAUCUGCAUUUUAUAGAAACCUUUAGUUUUUUUUUUUUCUACUCCUCUUCUUAUUGGUUAUAGACUAUUUCAUUGCGAGUGAGUGUGUGUGUUGUUGAUUAUUUCUCUUGCUGGUUUGUUGACAGAGGAUGAGUACAGAUCUUGUUAGAGAAGAUGAUGUUGAGGAGAAUCCUUCUUCUGUCUCUUCGAGAAUGGACCUAAAACGGAUUCAUCAGUGGCUGACACAAGAAGAGUCCUCCGGUUCAGAACUAUUCAGUAAUAAGAGACAAGUGGUUGAGACUGAUAGUGGUUCCCGGACGAGUUUCUUAACUCCUCCUCUUAUGUCUGCUUGGGACAGCUCACUUGUGCCUAACUGCUUAUUCGAUCCUGCUAAUCCACAGCAUACAUCACAUCUCCUUGGUAGAUAUAUCUCUCCUGUAGACCAGGAGGUGCUUCAUGGUAGCUCAUUUAAUCUUGACACCAUUAGAAAGGUCACAGUCAAUAAUCAAGUGUGUGAAUCUCAAAACAUGCCCCAAUCCAUGCUUCAGUUUUAUGAUAGCACCCCCUCUUUUGGCCAAACCUGCAGCAGUAUUGACAAGAGCUUCACCUUGCCAGGGCCAAACUUGAGUUAUGAUAAAGGAGAUGAAAAUGUCUUCUCAACAUUCCAUCCAUUUGGGAAAGGAGUAGAAAGCUUUGCGUUGAU
rnacentral:lncRNA from 1 species